rnacentral:ribozyme from 13 species
UCGAUUUUUUUUUUUUCAUUUUUUUUAUUGUUUUUCUUCUUCCACUAUUUAUUUUACCGCUCACCACUAAUACGUAGUAGUACACACCUUCGGUUCGAAAGCAUGAAGCGAGUUUUCGGCUUUGUGCGCCGAAGAAAAGGCAAGAAAA